rnacentral:sRNA from 1 species
UUAUUGGGUUCGGGCGCACCUCCUCCCAGCGCCUUGAACCUGAUCCGACCGGCGGUUUUCCUCCCAACGCCGGUCAGACGUAAAAAACGACGCCCACCGGUUCUCCUCCCUCCGGUGGGCGUUCGUU